rnacentral:snoRNA from 1 species
CCCAUGUCUGCGUGAUGAGAUAAAUGUUGGUAGGGACAUCUGAUUGUCAGAGUGAAGAAAUGCCAACAGCUCUGACCGCAUGGG